UUCCGGUUGAUCCUGCCGGACCUGACUGCUAUCGGAUUGAUACUAAGCCAUGCGAGUCAUUGUAGCAAUACAAGGCAUACGGCUCAGUAACGCGUAGUCAACCUAACCUAUGGACGGGAAUAACCUCGGGAAACUGAGAAUAAUGCCCGAUAGAACAUUAUGCCUGGAAUGGUUUAUGUUCCAAAUGAUUUAUCGCCGUAGGAUGGGACUGCGGCCUAUCAGUUUGUUGGUGAGGUAAUGGCCCACCAAGACUAUUACAGGUACGGGCUCUGAGAGGAGUAGCCCGGAGAUGGGUACUGAGACACGGACCCAGGCCCUAUGGGGCGCAGCAGGCGAGAAAACUUUGCAAUGUGCGAAAGCACGACAAGGUUAAUCCGAGUGGUUUCUGCUAAAGAAACCUUUUGUCAGUCCUAGAAACACUGAUGAAUAAGGGGUGGGCAAGUUCUGGUGUCAGCCGCCGCGGUAAAACCAGCACCUCAAGUGGUCAGGAUGAUUAUUGGGCCUAAAGCAUCCGUAGCCGGCUCUGUAAGUUUUCGGUUAAAUCUGUACGCUCAACGUACAGGCUGCCGGGAAUACUGCAGAGCUAGGGAGUGGGAGAGGUAGACGGUACUCGGUAGGAAGGGGUAAAAUCCUUUGAUCUAUUGAUGACCACCUGUGGCGAAGGCGGUCUACCAGAACACGUCCGACGGUGAGGGAUGAAAGCUGGGGGAGCAAACCGGAUUAGAUACCCGGGUAGUCCCAGCUGUAAACUAUGCAAACUCAGUGAUGCAUUGGCUUGUGGCCAAUGCAGUGCUGCAGGGAA
rnacentral:rRNA from 1 species